AGAGGUUUACCGUUGUUUAGAUGCAAUAGAAGGGAGUGGAUGUAGCUCUUUCCAAUCUUCGAUCUGUCGAUAAAAGGUGAUCUGCGACAACUAAACCAGUCCUGCUUGGGUCUUGAAGAUAAUCGAGCUAGACCAACCAGAAUUGAUAGAAGGGAGAAAAGCCAAACCAUUCCAAUCUUGGAUCUGUGGGUGACAGAUUUGAUGCAAAAGACUCUGUCUUUGAUUGUUUUGUUGCUAUUCCUCAAUCUGUUGUUUGCUGGUGUUUCAGUGUUUUGCUUUUAUUCAGAUUCGAGGAACAGUUUGGUGUUACAUUGUUUAUCUACUUCAAAUUUAGUCAUGGCACCAAGGAUUCCGUGGAAGCAACAAAAUCACAUAGCAAAGGACCUUUCUUGGCCAUAGAACACCUUGGUAUCCACGAUUAAGCCUCCGAUGGCAAACUCCACACUACCGAUGGACACUGAAAACUUACCUGAAAUGGCUGUUCACUGGGGAGUUUGAAAAGACUCUUUUGCCCUUCGUUUUCUGU